AUUGAACUCUGGCGGCAGGCUUAACACAUGCAAGUCAAACGAGUGGCGGACGGGUGAGUAAUGUCUGGGAAACUGCAUGAUGGAGUGGGAUAACUACUGGCAACGGUAGCUAAUACCGCAUACCAUCGGAUGUGCCCAGAUGGGAUUAGCUAGUAGGUGGGGUAAAGUCUCACGUAGGCGACGAUCCGUAGCUGGUCUGAGAGGAUGACCAGCCACACUGUAACUGAGACACGGUCCAGGCUCCUGCGGCAAGCAGCAGUUGAGAAUAUUGGACAAUGGGCGCAAGCAGAAUGCAGUCAGGCCGCGGGUAUGAAAAACGCCUUCGGGUUGUUGAGUACUAUCAGCUGGGUGGCGUUACGCGCAGAAGGAGCACCGGCUAACACCCUGCGUGCAGCCGCGGUAAUUC
rnacentral:rRNA from 1 species